rnacentral:siRNA from 1 species
UGAUUUGGUAGUCUGGCGAAG